rnacentral:rRNA from 1 species
AGUGAACGCUGGCGGCAGGCCUAACACAUGCAAGUCGAACGGCAGCACAGUAAGAGCUUGCUCUUACGGGUGGCGAGUGGCGGACGGGUGAGGAAUACAUCGGAAUCUACUUUUUCGUGGGGGAUAACGUAGGGAAACUUACGCUAAUACCGCAUACGACCUACGGGGGAAAGCAGGGGAUCUUUGGACCUGGCGCGAUUGGAUGAGCCGAUGUCGGGUUAGCUUGUUGGCGGGGUAAAGGCCCACCAAGGCGACGAUGCGUAGCUGGUCUGAGGGGAUGAUCAGCCACACUGGAACUGAGACACGGUCCAGACUCCUGCGGGAGGCAGCAGUGGGGAAUAUUGGACAAUGGGGGCAAGCCUGAUCCAGCCCUACCGCGUGGGUGAAGAAGGCCUUCGGGUUGUAAAGCCCUUUUGUUGGGAAAGAAAAGCAGCAGGUUAAUACCCCGCUGUUCUGACGGUACCGGAAGAAUAAGCACCGGCUAACUUCGUG